CCUACGGGUGGCAGCAGUGAGGAAUAUUGGUCAAUGGACGCAAGUCUGAACCCGCCAUGCCGCGUGCAGGAUGACGGCUCUAUGAGUUGUAAACUGCUUUUGUACGAGGGUAAACCCCGAUACGUGUAUCGGGUUGAAAGUAUCGUACGAAUAAGGAUCGGCUAACUCCGUGCCAGCAGCCGGGGUAAUACGGGGGUUCCGAGCGUUAUCCGGAUUUAUUGGGUUUAAAGGGUGCGUAGGCGUUUUGAUAAGUUAGAGGUGAAGUGGCGGGGCUCAACCCCGAAACUGCCUCUAAUACUGUUGGACUAGUGCAUCGUUGCGGUAGGCGGAAUGUAUGGUGUAGCGGUUACAUGCUUAGAGUUCAUCCAGAACACCGAUUGCGAAGGCAGCUUACCAAACUAUAUCUGACGUUGCGGCACGAAAGCGUGGGUAGCAAACAGGAUUAGAUACCCGAGUAGUC
rnacentral:rRNA from 1 species